AUGCCCCCUUACAGUGCUUGCAAGAACAUUAUGAAAUGGUUUGAGGCCUUGCCCUGCUCCAUCCAGAGCAAGGUUCUAGAAAUUUCAGACAUGA
rnacentral:snoRNA from 1 species